GGCUGGCCUGCAGGCAAUGAGUUAUCUCUAUUGAUUGUCCACAGUCAGUCACAGAUUGAAGCCAAUUGUACCCUUUCUCUCUUCCCACUACUGCACUUAGCUAGAAAA
rnacentral:Y_RNA from 1 species